rnacentral:rRNA from 1 species
UACGUAGGGGGCAAGCGUUGUCCGGAAUCAUUGGGCGUAAAGAGCGUGUAGGCGGUCCUGUAAGUCCGCUGUGAAAGUCAAGGGCUCAACCCUUGAAUGCCGGUGGAUACUGCAGGACUAGAGUCCGGAAGAGGCGAGUGGAAUUCCUGGUGUAGCGGUGAAAUGCGCAGAUAUCAGGAGGAACACCAAUGGCGAAGGCAGCUCGCUGGGACGGUAUUGACGCUGAGGAGCGAAAGCGUGGGUAGCGAACAGG